GCCUGGUCCAGCUAGGGUUAACCCAUUUUUUCAUAAACAUAGCAGUUUCAGAGAAACUGCUAUGUUUAUGAAUGGGUUAAGCCUACCCCUAUUUCCUCUAGUGGCUGUCUCAUUGACAGCCACUAGAGGCGCUUACGUGCUUCUCACUGUGAUUUUCACAGUGAGAGCACGCCAGCAUCCAGAGGAAAGUAUUAUGAAUGCUUUCCUAUGUGACCGGCUGAAUGCGC
rnacentral:lncRNA from 1 species